rnacentral:rRNA from 1 species
UGACUGUGCAAAGGUAGCAUAAUCAGUUGGCUUAUAAUUGAGGUCUGGGAUGAAUGAACCUACGGGGUUCUACUGUCUUUAUGAUAAUAAGGUGAAUUUAGUGAUCAAGUGCAAAUACCUGAUAGUAUUGAAUAGACGAGAAGACCCUAGAAACUUUUAAAUAUGUUUUGCUGGGGCGGCAAAGUUGCACUUAACCAACUUAUUUAACAAGCAGCACGGCUGUAAGACCAAGUUACUCUAGGGAUAACAGCAUAAUUAAAUUUAGUUU